rnacentral:rRNA from 1 species
GUGAACCACUUUUAACGGCCGCGGUAUCCUAACCGUGCAAAGGUAGCAUAAUCACUUGUCCCCUAAAUAGGGACUAGCAUGAACGGCUAAACGAGGGCCCAACUGUCUCCUAUAGCCAACCAAUAAACCUGAUCUCCCAGUACAAAAGCUGGGAUAAACCCAUUAGACGAGAAGACCCUGUGGAGCUUAAAGCCCAAGUAUCAACACAAACUACCAUUGAUACACGCUUUCAGUUGGGGCGACUUUGGAGUAAAACAAAACCUCCACGACACUACCACAGCGUAACCUAAGACCUACACGUCAAACCAUAAAUACUAAGACCCAGUCAAACUGAUCAACGGACCAAGUUACCCCAGGGAUAACAGCGCCAUCCUCCCCAAGAGUCCAUAUCGCCAGGAGGGCUUACGACCUCGAUGUUGGAUCAGGACACCCAGGUGGUGCAGCCGCUACCAAAGGUUCGUUUGUUCAACGACUAACGUCCUACGUGAUCUGAGUUUCA